CUUAGCUGGCUGUGCAGUCUCUGUAGGAGUCAGUCCCAGUCAGGACAUAGUAUGGCCAUGAAGACGCCUGCCCAGGCAUUGGCAAUUUGGUUACUCUGGGUCUCAGGUGCCAGAUGUGAUAUUCAAGUGACUCAAUCUCCAUCCUCCCUCUUGGCAUCUCUAGGAGAGAGAGUCACUAUCACAUGCCAGACAAGUCAGAGCAUUAGCAAUAACCUAAACUGGUAUCAGCAGAAACCAGGACAAGCUCCUAUGCUCUUGAUCUAUUAUGCAACCAGUUUGCAGACUGGCAUGCCAUCAAGGUUCAGUGGCCAAUAUUCUGGGAGAAGUUUCACUCUAACCAUCACUAGCCUGGAGCCAGAAGAUAUUGCAAAUUAUUUUUGUCUGCAGCAUUACAGUGCUCCUCACACAGUGAUAUAAGCC